rnacentral:rRNA from 1 species
UUUUAGUCUGAACCCCCGAAACUAGGUGAGCUACUUCGAAACAGUCUCAAGGACUAACCCGUCUCUGUCGCAAAAGAGUGGGAUGAUUUCCAAGUAGGGGCAACAAACCAACCGCACCUAGAGAUAGCUGGUUACUCAAGAAAAGAAUAUAAGUUCAACCUUAAGCUUUUUAAUUACACAAAAACCCCAUUAAACUUAAGAGUUACUCAAAUAAGGCACAGCUUAUUUGAAACAGGAUACAACCUACAACACAGGGUAAAACUCAUGAACAAGUAACAAGUGGGCCUAAGAGCAGCCACCUUCAAAAAGCGUUAAAGCUUAACACUUAUUCUAAAUUAAUAUCCCCACCUUCCCCGAACCCUUCACCAAUAUUGAGUAACUCCAUAAAAUUAUGGAAGUUAUAAUGCUAGAACUAGUAACAAGAAAUAGACUUUCUCCAAAAUGCAAGCCUAAGCCACAAUAGACAACCUAUUGGCAAUUAACGCAAAUGAAAAUAUUAUAGUAACUCUAACAAGAAAAACCUAUUCCCAUACACGUAACCCUUACACCAGAGCAUUAAUGGAAAGAUUAAAAGAAAAAGAAGGAACUCGGCAANCCCACAGCCCGCCUGUUUACCAAAAACAUCGCCUCUUGACACAAUAUAAGAGGUCCAGCCUGCCCAGUGACACAGUUUAACGGCCACGGUAUCCUAACCGUGCGAAGGUAGCAUAAUCACUUGUUCUUUAAAUGAGGACUUGUAUCAACGGCAUCACGAGGGCUCUACUGUCUCCUUUCUCUAAUCAGUGAAACUAAUCUCCCCGUGAAGAAGCGGGGAUACUACCAUAAGACGAGAAGACCCCAUGGAGCUUUAAACCCAACUACACCCCUACUUUUCACACCCACUCAACCAACAGGGCCCUGUACGCUUGGUUUUAGGUUGGGGUGACCGCGGAGUAAAGUUAAACCUCCACGAUGAACGGGAAUACCCUCUUAUCCAAGAGCCACACCUCUAAGAAUUAGCACACUAACAUAAAAUGAUCCGAUACUCGAUCAACGAACCAAGUUACCCUGGGGAUAACAGCGCAAUCCAUUUCAAGAGCCCCUAUCGACAAAUGGGUUUACGACCUCGAUGUUGGAUCAGGAUAUCCCAGUGGUGCAGCAGCUACUAAAGGUUCGUUUGGUCAACGAUUAAAACC